CUGAGAAAUCACCAUCCGCAGCAAGCAUUUUGCUUCUUGAUUCCUUGAAGGCCCUUUCAAAGCUGGAUGGGCAGGGUGUGGAACCGGUCAUUUCCCCGGUGGCCCCGGGGCGGGGAUGGGACGAGGCAGGGGGGAGAUGGUGUCUUUCUCUCCUGAGUGACUCCAAGAGCCUGUUAGUCUCAGCCUCUGACCAGAAAGCAAGAUUUAUUUCUCACUGGCUACAAGAGAGUUAUUUCAAAAUCUUCUUCCUCCAUUACAAAACUCCCCUCUGGGAGCGUGGUUGGCUAAAGCGGCCACAAUCUUGGUUUCUCUGUCUUCUGUGCAUCUAGAGUUACAUGCAGAAGUGAGGGUUGGGGUUAUGGAGGGGCAGGCUCGGGGUCCCUGCUGUCCCUGUAGCUGUCAGCUGGCCGCCCUGGAAAUGGGGCCGCCUUCUGCUGCAUUCUGGAAGCCCCACCUUCUCGUUGUGCGUGCGGACAAAUAUUCCCUCUUGGUAGAGACGCCAGCGAAAACAAACCUCCAGCAAAAGCGUGGGGAGUUCUGUUUGUUUUUACAUUUCUAUUUUAUUUUUUUUGUUUGUUUGUUUUUCUUUUGCUUUGCAUAGCUCUCUUGAUAGAAUGCUCAAUUUUUAGCCACAAAUAACUAUAGCUGAGUCCCAGGAAGUUAGGGAAUCUUGGAGUGGGGUAGCUGAGCCAUUCACUUUAGGGAGGCAUUGCUAAUGACCUAUCCUUUUCGGAACUGUGACCAACGUUCGUGUCCCGUGUUAGCGUGAUGUCUGGCCCUGCUUACCAUUCUUUAUAGUGGGUAUCGCCGUCUGAAGAUACUGUAUGUUUCCCUGGGUGUGUUUGCUCUCGUCUCCGUCCAUCCCCAUUAGAACAUUCAUUCCACGAAGACAAGGAAUUCAUUCUAGUUUGUCCACUGCUUUGUUUCCAGUACCUAGAACAGAACCUGUCCGGGGCAGGUUCUCGCUGAACAUCUCGUGAAAUGACAAACAAACGUGCCAGGCACUCAGCUGUACCUGUAAAAGCCUUACCUCACGUUUUUGUUUUUCCUCUCCAACCUCUGUCCAUAGGCAUGGCUGUUCUCCCAAGCAUUUGGAUGAGGAAACAGGAUUAGGGAGGGGAUGGCACCUGCCUGGGCUCACAGGGCAGGUCAAAUCCUGCUCCAAGAAAAUGGAAUAUUUCCGCACCAUGAGAACAUCGCUCUGGGUUUUUUCCUUAUGUGAUCACCACCACCUGAAGUGAGUAUUGCCAAAUAAGAUACAGGAUCCCCAGGUAAAUUCAAAUUCCAGAUGAAUAACCAGUAAUUUUUUUUUUUUUAGUGUAAGUAUAUCCCAAAUAUGACAUGGGACACACUUAUACUAAAACACGCAUUCCUUGCUGUUCUGGUUGCCAAAUCUGACAACCCUACCUGAAGAGCCAUUUCUCUUGUCUCUCUUUGGUCUAAGUUCUGAGGAUGAAUUUAAAAGCACUUUGGGGCAACAGAUUUCCUGAGGUCAGGAACUGGGCAUGCUUCUUUGUAUUUCCUCCUUUGCUAUGACCCCCAGGGCCCUGCUUCUCCUGCCUGUGCAUGGAAGGCCCUGGGAGCCAGCAUGGUCAGGUUGAUGGCAUUGCCUGGAGGAGGCAAAAGGGAGAAGAGCAGUGAUUCUCAACUGGGGGUGACUGUGCCCCCAAGGGCCAUUUGGCGAUGCCUACAGAUAUUUUCUGAUUGUCACCACCGGGUGGGGGAUGCUAUUGGCAUCUUGUGGGUAAAAGCCAGGGAUGCUGCUGAACAUCCUACAGUGCACACGCACGCAAAAUCACACACACAUGCACACGCACCAAUUAUCUGGUCCCAAAUGUAAAUAGUGCUGCAGCUGAGAAACUCCAAAGUGAAGGAGAAACCAGUUUUAAAGUGAAGGGCUUGAGUAGGCUCUACGCCCAACGUGGGGCUUGAACUCACGACCCUGAGAUCAGAGUUGCAUGCUCCACUUAAAAUAAUAAUUGGGGCGCCUGGUUGGCUCAGUCAGUUAAGUGUCCAACUCUUGAUUUCGGCUCAGGUCAUGACAUCAUAGUUCGUGAGGUCAAGCCCCUCAUUGGCUCUGUGCUGACAGUGCAGAGCCUGCUUGGGAUUCUCCCUUUCCCUCCCUCUCUGCCCUCCCAUGUGCUCUCUCUCUCUCUCUCUCUAAAUAAACAAAUAAACUUAAAAUUUUUUAAAAUAAUAAUAAUAAAAUAGAGGGCCUGAGGUUUAAAUAUAAACCUUCAGCCUAUAAGUAACCUUAGGUCCCUGGGCAGCGUCAUCAAGAAUUGGAGAGCUAGCCUGGGACCUGUAAUCCCACUCCCUCCUCCACUCAGUGCCCUCAGGCUGUAAGACCCAUGAUGUCCCCUUCAAGGCUAGCCUGGGUUCAUUUUAACCACCUUUCAUGCAUGCAAGGAUGCUGGGAGAUGGGCAGUCUACACAACGUGGGGCUGAGCCCUCCUCUCCAGCUUCCUGCCCUUUCUGGCCACCAUCCCUCCCUGACGGGAGUCAUUUAAGGCUCUGUUCUGAUUCCUGCAACACCUUUCCAAUGUGCCAAGGAAAGUUCCUUAUGCCUGGCUGGAGGCUGAAGGUGAGAUGUCCUCUUGCUUGCUGCCCAGUGGGAAACUGGAAAGCCCUCAAGAGGCACAAAUAUCGGGCCUGCCCUACUCCCGGAGCCCACCUCUUCCCCAGUCCCCAACGCCAGAGUCCCCAGGCAGGAUACUCCCAAAGUCAGGAUUUAUUCCAGACUGGAAGUUAUCCUAGCAAAGAAGAAAGGCUCACCUUCUACAAAUUAAAUCAAUUUUCAGUAGCUUCUGGUUCAGGGCGGUUUCCAAGGUCAGCCCUCCUGUGUGCCUGUUCAUCCCCGUUUUAUUCUCAUGUAGCCCUCAGCAGAGAUGACCAAGGUCUGAGCCUUCACACUCAGCAGCUUGCUAGCCUGCCAAGGAUGGAAAUACUGAAAACUCCCCACCUGCUUCUCUAAGAGCCCCCCAUGUGGUGUGGGUGAGCAAAAUCCAGUCCUUUCCUUAGAAUGCAAAACCAAACCAAACCAAAAAACAAACAAACAAACAAACAAAAAAAAACCAGAACAACAACGAAAAGAAAACCUUUUUUAAAAAAGGAAAACCAAAAACCAAACACACAAGAAAAUAAGGACAAAACAAAAGGCAAAAAUAAGCAACCCCAAAGGCAGGGGGACUUUGCUUUGUCAGUAAAAUCCUAUGAUAUAUAACUUUGCACUUGUUUUUGGAACUUGGAGAGUGAGAAAAUGUUCUCGUCUUACAAAUUAGAUUUCCCACAGCCUCCUACUUCUUCACCUAUCGCUGGACAAACAAAAUACUUUAUUUUAUGUGACUUGUGACUUUCCCCUCUACCAAGCACGUGAGCCGGCGGCCGCCUGUUGGACUGCAGCGGUGAAACUCGGAGCAGCCCGCACCCCUCCCUCCUCUGACCCUUUCUCCGUCUACCCCUCACUCUGCCCCCCUCACCCCCCACUCCGCCCUCGCCAAAAGAUUUAUAGAGCAGAGUGGCUUGAGAACAAAUGAGCAGACAUUAGGCUGAUGUGUUCUGCAUACUAAUGACAAGAUACUGCUUCUGUACCUAGGGGCAAAGCCAGGUCAGGCCAGUUUAACCAUAAACUUUAUUUAUGGGCUUAUAACCUGCAGCUGCAGUACUUAAGCUCAAUCUUGGGACUGAGAUCUGUCUCUCUCUAUAGAUUCAUGCAUAUCGCUUCAAACACAUUUGGGGGAUGGGGGCGAGCUUCCUUCGGGAUCUCCUGAGCAGUUCCAGUACGAAGUUUAAACCGAAGGGAAACGUGAGUUAGACCAAAAAAACAAACAA